rnacentral:rRNA from 1 species
GAUGAACGCUGGCGGCGUGCUUAACACAUGCAAGUCGAACGAAGCACUUUAUUUGAUUUCCUUCGGGAUUGAUUAUUUUGUGACUGAGUGGCGGACGGGUGAGUAACGCGUGGGUAACCUGCCUUGUACAGGGGGAUAACAGUUGGAAACGGCUGCUAAUACCGCAUAAGCGCACAGCAUCGCAUGAUGCAGUGUGAAAAACUCCGGUGGUAUAAGAUGGACCCGCGUUGGAUUAGCUAGUUGGUGAGGUAACGGCCCACCAAGGCGACGAUCCAUAGCCGACCUGAGAGGGUGACCGGCCACAUUGGGACUGAGACACGGCCCAAACUCCUACGGGAGGCAGCAGUGGGGAAUAUUGCACAAUGGGCGAAAGCCUGAUGCAGCGACGCCGCGUGAGCGAAGAAGUAUUUCGGUAUGUAAAGCUCUAUCAGCAGGGAAGAUAAUGACGGUACCUGACUAAGAAGCACCG